GACAAUUUAGCCUACCCAAUUCACCUGUACCCCAUGUCUUUGGACUUGUAGGCAAAACCGGAGCACCCAGAGAAAACCCACCAAACGCAGAGAGAAUUUGCAAACUACACACAGAAAUGCCUGCUGAUCCAGCUGCGGCUCGAGUCAGCAUCCUUGCUUAUUGGAUGCCUGAUUGCAGUUCAACUCCAAACUCAGUUGGACCAGCUGAUCAGUGUCUUCAGUAUUACCACAAGCUACUGGGCAGAUGUGUGGACAGCUAUGAGCCAAACUUGGGACGUUUGGUUUUUAGCAGGUGUAGAGACCGUCUGGGCAGCAGAAACAAGACAACUAAUCAUAUUUAGAUACAAUCAAAUGUCCAAACCAUCUCUGAGUGAAUGACAUCAAGGAAACAGGAUCAAAAAGAUCAUUCAAUAUAGAAUGUUUCAUAGUUGGUUAUAUUUUUCAGGUCCUCCUGAUCAUUCUGUUCUCCUGGUUGUGAGGAUGUGCAGAGGCUGUAUUUGUCAGUGUUAAAAGACUUGUGCAGCUGUAUGCAGACAUACAAGCAGCCGACAAAGAGUUCUGGAGCAGGACAGACAGGGCAGCACGGUGGCGCAGAGGGUAGCACGUUUGCCUCACAGCAAGAAGGUUGCUGCUUCA